UUUGCCAUUCAUUUCAAUGGGUGAUGUAAUUUUGGACAUCCGCAAUUCUAUUUUGGAUAUCCACAACAUAGAUUGCAGAUAUCUGCAACUGAAUUGCAGAUAUCUUUAAUUGCAAUUCGAGAUAUCUACAAUUGAAUUUCGCCUAGUCAAAAUGUCAGUUCAAGAUAUCUUCAAAUCCUUCUAAUUCAAGAUAUCUAUAUCUUCCUUUUUGGAUAUCCUUAAUUGAGUUUUGACUAGGCGAAAUUCAAUUGCAGAUAUCUGUAACUGGAGUUACGACUAGUCAAAAUGACGUUUUAGAUAUCUCAUACUGGAGUUAUGGAUAGGCGAAAUGUAAUUGUAGAUAUCCACUAUCCAAUUAUAGAUAUCUGGAAAUGAUUUUUGAUUAGAGAUAUCUCAAAUUGGAGAUAUCUGUAAUGUUCAUUCUGCCUAGUCGAAAUGUAAUUAAAGAUAUCUAGAAUAACAGUUUUGACUAGGCGAAAUGACGUUACAGAUAUCUGUAUGCAAAUGACCCAUGCACGCACCACCAACCCCCCUCCCCUUCCCCCACCCCUCACAUUUGGCGGGAGCACACAAACACACACACACACACACACCGCCAUUUUAGUGAUUAGUUGCACCUGUGAAAUGGACAACGAGCGUCAAGAAACCGUUUUCAAUCGUCUUUUCAACAUAGCUACUCGUGCAAGAGCAGAGUUGGCAAGCUCCAGUGCAGAUCAUGCCUAAAGUUACUUCAACGCGACGACCGACUGUUUCAUCGAGUACAGGUUAGGCGACGAGGACAUGAUGAGGACAAGCACUGUCAAGUCCUCUUCAGCUCCAAUGAUUAUAUCCAGUGCCCAAGGCUCCACGUCUCUAUGCACCAUUCAUCUCAACACUAACCAAAUGGUGGCUUUGUAACAGUGAUUGUGGGAGGAUGCUGUGCAGGUGUCAACAUGAAUGUGCCGGAGGACUAGAGUAUGCUGGCGUCGACACCCCACCUCCUCCCCUUCAGACUCCAUCGAGGGUUGGUCCCUGUCCUGUGAGGAGAGGAUGCAAUGGGUCUCUGCUUCAGCCGUGGCACCUUCUCUACAACCCUCGCCACUGUCACCAGUUUGUCCCCAUCCUGUGAAGGGGGGUAGGCUUUAGCCCCCUGCCUCAUCAAUCGGCAGGAUAAGCGCCCUCUUCUUUGAAACAGGACAUGUUUUAUUGAUGCUCUACAUGAGUAUUAUAUACAUGUAUAUAUACAGUG